CCCCACGCGAUUGGCUAGCAUAUUCCAAAAUGACGUCAACUGAGGUGAACGAGUCUAUCGCAUGAUGUUGGGGAGGGGCCUUGUUGCCAUUUGGGUCAGCUCGUCUGUACACAUCCGAACUGCAUCAGUAGCGUGACUGGUCAUGACUUAUAUUGCAUUUUAAGUGACUUGGUUUUCUCCGGCAACAACAAAUGCAAGUUCUGGAAAGUCAUGUGCAAACCGAUUUGCAAGGUGACGCCAUUCGAGGUUACAAAAGAUGAGAGGAAAAAAAUGUGAUUAAUCAAAGGACAAAAUUAACCUCAAGGCUGUAUAACUGUGCUCCGAUUUCGCUAAUUAUUUGGCAACUCCGUUCCCUGGCAACCCCUUCCCAAGAACUACCAGACAAAGCGGAGCCGACAAGAAAUCUUUGGACCGAUGCCAAUGCAACAAGGAGAAAUGACGUAGGCUGGCUAGUUCAAUGUCCCUAUUCUUGGGUGAGCUAACGGUAAAAAAUUUGUUUCAGCGUCCCAGUUUCACAAUCAUUCUCCAUAGAAAAAUGUUGUAAUCUAAGAAUAAUUAUGAGCCCCUCAGGGAAAAUUCCCAAAUUAAAAAUUGUUAGCUACAAAUCAAUCCACUGAAAGAAAAUAAAUCCCAAACUUAAUUUUUCCUGUCA